rnacentral:rRNA from 1 species
UACAGAGGUCUCGAGCGUUGUUCGGAUUCAUUGGGCGUAAAGGGUGCGUAGGCGGCUUCCUAAGUCUGAUGUGAAAUCCCGGGGCUCAACCCCGGAAUGGCAUUGGAUACUGGGAGGCUAGAGAACUGGAGAGGAGACUGGAAUUUACGGUGUAGCAGUGAAAUGCGUAGAGAUCGUAAGGAAGACCAGUGGCGAAGGCGAGUCUCUGGACAGUUCCUGACGCUGAGGCACGAAGGCCAGGGGAGCAAACGGG